CCUACGGGAGGCAGCAGUGGGAAAUAUUGCACAAUGGGCGAAAGCCUGAUGCAGCAACGCCGCGUGAGCGAUGAAGGCCUUCGGGUCGUAAAGCUCUGUCCUCAAGGAAGAUAAUGACGGUACUUGAGGAGGAAGCCACGGCUAACUACGUGCCAGCAGCCGCGGUAAUACGUAGGGGGCCAGCGUUAUCCGGAAUUACUGGGCGUAAAGGGUGCGUAGGUGGUUUCUUAGGUCGGUGGUGAAAGGCUACGGCUAAACCGUAGUAAGCCUAUGAAACUGGGAAGCUUGAGUGCAGGAGAGGAGAGUGGAAUUCCUAGUGUAGCGGUGAAAUGCGUAGAUAUUAGGAGGAACACCGGUUGCGAAGGCGGCUCUCUGGACUGUAACUGACGCUGAGGCACGAAAGCGUGGGGAGCAAACAGGAUUAGAUACCCGUGUAGUC
rnacentral:rRNA from 1 species